rnacentral:rRNA from 1 species
AACACAUGCAAGUCGAGGGAGAGGUUACCUUCGGGUAACUGAAACCGGCGCACGGGUGCGUAACGCGUAUACAAUCUGCCUUUCACAUAGGGAUAGCCCGAAGAAAUUUGGAUUAAUACCUAAUGGUAUAUAAGAGCGGCAUCGUUUUUAUAUUAAAGCUACGGUGGUGAAAGAUGAGUAUGCGUUCUAUUAGCUAGUUGGAGAGGUAACGGCUCCCCAAGGCGACGAUAGAUAGGGGUUCUGAGAGGGAUGUCCCCCACACUGGUACUGAGAUACGGACCAGACUCCUACGGGAGGCAGCAGUGAGGAAUAUUGGACAAUGGUCGGAAGACUGAUCCAGCCAUGCCGCGUGCAGGAUGAAGGUCCUAUGGAUUGUAAGCUGCUUUUGUAAGGGAAGAAUAAGGGGUACGUGUACUUUGAUGACGGUACCUUACGAAUAAGCAUCGGCUAACUCCGUGCCAGCAGCCGCGGUAAUACGGAGGAUGCGAGCGUUAUCCGGAAUCAUUGGGUUUAAAGGGUCCGUAGGCGGGCUGAUAAGUCAGAGGUGAAAGCGCUUAGCUCAACUAAGCAACUGCCUUUGAAACUGUCAGUCUUGAAUGAUUGUGAAGUAGUUGGAAUGUGUAGUGUAGCGGUGAAAUGCUUAGAUAUUGCACAGAACACCGAUAGCGAAGGCAUAUUACUAACAAUUUAUUGACGCUGAUGGACGAAAGCGUGGGGAGCGAACAGGAUUAGAUACCCUGGUAGUCCACGCUGUAAACGAUGGAUACUAGCUGUUUGGAGCAAUCUGAGUGGCUAAGCGAAAGUGAUAAGUAUCCCACCUGGGAGUACGCACGCAAGUGU